rnacentral:rRNA from 1 species
CCUACGGGUCGCACCAGUAGGGAAUCUUCGGCAAUGGACGAAAGUCUGACCGAGCAACGCCGCGUGAGUGAAGAAGGUUUUCGGAUCGUAAAACUCUGUUGGUAGAGAAGAACGUUGGUGAGAGUGGAAAGCUCAUCAAGUGACGGUAACUACCCAGAAAGGGACGGCUAACUACGUGCCAGCAGCCGCGGUAAUACGUAGGUCCCGAGCGUUGUUCGGAUUUAUUGGGCGUAAAGCGAGCGCAGGUGGUUUAUUAAGUCUGGUGUAAAAGGCGGUGGCUCAACCAUUGUAUGCAUUGGAAACUGGUAGAUUUGAGUGCAGGAGAGGAGAGUGGAAUUCCGUGUGUAGCGGUGAAAUGCGUAGAUAUAUGGAGGAACACCGGUGGCGAAAGCGGCUCUCUGGCCUGUAACUGACACUGAGGCUCGAAAGCGUGGGGAGCAAACAGGAUUAGAUACCCGUGUAGUC